rnacentral:rRNA from 1 species
UACGUAGGGGGCUAGCGUUGUCCGGAUUUAUUGGGCGUAAAGAGCGUGUAGGCGGCCAGGUAGGUCUGCUGUGAAAACUUCGAGGCUCAACCUCGAGACGUCGCGGAAACCAUCUGGCUAGAGUCCGGAAGAGGAGAGUGGAAUUCCUGGUGUAGCGGUGAAAUGCGCAGAUAUCGAGGAGAACACCGAGUGGCGAAGGC